rnacentral:rRNA from 1 species
UUAAAUUUAAAGAAUUUGGCGGUAAUUUAGUCUGUUCAGAGGAACCUGUUUGUAAGUUUAAUCGAUAUGCCACGUUUUAUCUUACUUGCUUUUAAGUAAUUUGUAUACCGUCAUUUUAAAAUAAUAUAGGAUAGAGAAUUAUUGUAAAUAAUUAAUAUUAAAGAAAUUAGAUCAUGGUGCAGCUUAUAGGUAAGUUUAAAUGGGUUACAAUAAAUUUUAUUUAGAUGGAGUGAGUGUUGAAAAACUAUUAUGAAGGAGGAUUUGAUUGUAAUUUGGGUUUAAUAAAAUUAGAAGAGAUAGGCUCUAAGUUAUGUAC